CUUGCAGGAGCAGCUGGAGCAGCUGCAGAGGGAGUACAGCAAACUGAAGGCCAGCUGUCAGGAGUCGGCCAGGAUCGAGGACAUGAGGAAGCGGCAUGUUGAGGUCUCCCAGGCCCCCUUGCCCCCCGCCCCCGCCUACCUCUCCUCUCCCCUGGCCCUGCCCAGCCAGAGGAGGAGCCCCCCUGAGGAGCCACCUGACUUCUGCUGUCCCAAGUGCCAGUAUCAGGCCCCUGAUAUGGACACCCUGCAGAUACAUGUCAUGGAAUGCAUUGAGUAGGGCCGGCCAGUGCGAGGCCACUACCCGCCGAGGACAUGCCCGGGACCGUGCAGUCUGCGCUUUCCUCUCCCACCUGCCUAGCCCAGGAUGAAGGGCUGGGUGACCACAACUGGGAUGCCACCUGGACCCCCACCCAGGAGCUGGCCACGGCGCCUUACGCUUCAGCUCUUGGUCCACUGGUUGCCUCUUUUAGGGUAGAUGCGGCCCUGAUCAGGCCUGACUCACUGCUCUUUUUGUUCCCUUCUGUCUGCUUGAACCACUUGCCUUGGGCUAAUCCCUCCCUCUUCCUCCACCCCGCACUGGGGAAGUCAAGAAUGGGGGCCUGGGGCUCUCAGGGAGAACUGCUUCCCCUGGCAGAACUGGGUGGCAGCUCUUCCUCCCAACGGACACCGACCCACCCACCGCUGUGCCCUGGGAGUGCUGCCCUUGUACCGUGCACACGGGUGCUCUCCUUUUGGGCUGCAUGCUAUUCCAUUUUGCAGCCAGACCGAUGUGUAUUUAACCAGUCACUAUUGAUGGACAUUUGGGUUGUUUCCAGUCUUUUUGUUACCGUAAAUAAUUGCGUAGUAAAAGUCCUUGUGCAUUA